rnacentral:rRNA from 1 species
AUUGAACGCUGGCGGCAUGCUUUACACAUGCAAGUCGGACGGCAGCGGGGGUGCUUGCACCUGCCGGCGAGUGGCGAACGGGUGAGUAAUAUAUUGGAACGUACCGAGUAGUGGGGGAUAACUAAGCGAAAGUUUAGCUAAUACCGCAUACGACCUGAGGGUGAAAGCGGGGGACGGGAGACUGCCUCGCGCUAUUUGAGCGGCCAAUAACUGAUUAGCUAGUUGGUGGGGUAAAGGCCUACCAAGGCGAUGAUCAGUAGCGGGUCUGAGAGGAUGAUCCGCCACACUGGGACUGAGAGACGGCCCAGACUCCUACGGGAGGCAGCAGUGGGGAAUUUUGGACAAUGGGGGCAACCCUGAUCCAGCCAUGCCGCGUGUCUGAAGAAGGCCUUCGGGUUGUAAAGGACUUUUGUUAGGGAAGAAAAGGGAAGUACUAAUAUCACUUUUUGCUGACGGUACCUAAAGAAUAAGCACCGGCUAACUACGUGCCAGCAGCCGCGGUAAUACGUAGGGUGCGAGCGUUAAUCGGAAUUACUGGGCGUAAAGCGAGCGCAGACGGUUAUUUAAGUCGGAUGUGAAAUCCCCGAGCUUAACUUGGGAACUGCGUUUGAAACUGGGUAACUAGAGUAUGUCAGAGGGGGGUAGAAUUCCACGUGUAGCAGUGAAAUGCGUAGAGAUGUGGAGGAAUACCGAUGGCGAAGGCAGCCCCCUGGGAUAAUACUGACGUUCAUGCUCGAAAGCGUGGGUAGCAAACAGG